ACGUAGGUGGCAAGCGUUGUCCGGAAUUAUUGGGCGUAAAGCGCGCGCAGGCGGCCUUUUAAGUCUGAUGUGAAAGCCCCCGGCUCAACCGGGGAGGGUCAUUGGAAACUGGAAGGCUUGAGUACAGAAGAGAAGAGUGGAAUUCCACGUGUAGCGGUGAAAUGCGUAGAGAUGUGGAGGAACACCAGUGGCGAAGGCGACUCUUUGGUCUGUAACUGACGCUGAGGCGCGAAAGCGUGGGGAGCAAACAGGAUUAGAUACCCUGGUAGUCCACGCCGUAAACGAUGAGUGCUAGGUGUUGGGGGGUUUCCGCCCCUUAGUGCUGAAGCUAACGCAUUAAGCACUCCGCCUGGGGAGUACGGUCGCAAGGCUG
rnacentral:rRNA from 1 species